rnacentral:lncRNA from 13 species
GGAAGAUGUUCGUACGACCAGUGUCACGGCAGUAGGAGAAGUCACCUGUCUGGUCGUUGACAGAGAGUGAGAGAACCCAGGAGAGAGAGGGGGAGAGAGUGUGUGUGUGCAUGUAAUUGAAUGGUUCUUCAUUGGUUGAUGUGGAGUUGUGUAACCCUACCCCUCCCCUGUUCCAGGUCAUUCAUGCAUCUGAUUGGAGGGCUGGAUGAUGUCAACAGCAGACAGAAUGAGAAUGAUGAGCUCAACACCAAGUUGGAGGCAGAGGCAGGGUUUUUCUCCAGUGUGUCUCUCACUGAUUUCCACGUCAUCUGCACCCUCGGGCUAGGAGGCUUCAGUCGCGUCCAGCUGGUAAGUGUGAGUGUGUGUGUAUAUAAUGUGUGUGUGCUUACAUUAGUGUGUGUCUGUAAUGCCUGCGUGUGUGUGUGUUUCAUUUGUAUAGUGUGUGUCUUCAGGUUCAGUUAAAGAGUGACACCAGUCGGUCCUUUGCUCUGAAGGUUCUAAAGAAGCGUCACAUUCUGGACACUAGCCAACAGGGCCACAUCCUCUCAGAGAGACGCAUCAUGAUGGGUGCACACCGCCCCUUCACCGUCAGUCCAUACACAGAGACACAUACACUAUAGAUCACCUU